rnacentral:misc_RNA from 1 species
AGAAAAGAGUCUUUGUUGUGAUAUGGACUAACACUAUUAGACUUCGCUGAGCAUUUAAAAUAAGAAAUGUUUGACUUUUGGGCACCCAGAUACCUAUUCUUAUCAUCAGACAUUUUAAGAGAGUCAACUCUCCCCAGGUGAUUCUCCACUGAAACUCUCCCUCCAAGAACAGUUAACGUCCCCAUUGGGUUUCUAGUAUCAGAAGGGGUACAAUAAGGUGACAGACAAGCUGCCAUCUUAAUCUUAAAUAGCGUUGAUGAAAUGGCACUAGGUAUAAACACCAGAGUGGCUUAAAUGGAUAACUAUAUUAAGAAAUCACUUCCAACACCUGAAAGAGUUGCAGAGUAACAGAUAGCGAAUUCCCUUCGAGCAUUUGGCUACUGCUGAGGUAUGGAGUAGAAAUGGGUUUUU